AUUGAACGCUGGCGGGAUGCCUUACACAUGCAAGUCGAACGGAGUGGCGAACGGGUGAGUAAUGUAUCGGAACGUGCCCAGUAGCGGGGGAGAACUACACGACAGCGUAGCUAAUACCGCAUACUAUUGGAGCGGCCGAUAUCGGAAUAGCUAUUUGGUGGGUUAACGGCUCACCAAGGCGACGCUCCGUACCGGGUUUGAGAGGAAGACCAGCAACACUGGUACUGAGAAAGGUCCCAGACUCAUACGGGAGGCAGCAGUGGGUAAUUUUGGAAAAUGGGGUAAACCCUGCUCCGGCCAUCCCGCGUGUGCGAUGAAGUCCUGCGGGUUGUAAAGCACUUUGUGAAGGAAAGCGGUACCUGAAGAAUAAGCACCGGCUAACUACGUGCCAGCAGCCGCGGUAAUAC
rnacentral:rRNA from 1 species